rnacentral:rRNA from 1 species
UACGUAGGGCGCAAGCGUUGUCCGGAAUUAUUGGGCGUAAAGAGCUCGUAGGCGGUUUGUCGCGUCUGCUGUGAAAACUCGAGGCUCAACCUCGGGCUUGCAGUGGGUACGGGCAGACUAGAGUGCGGUAGGGGUGACUGGAAUUCCUGGUGUAGCGGUGGAAUGCGCAGAUAUCAGGAGGAACACCGAGUGGCGAAAGGCAGGUCACUGGGCCG